UUCAUAAAUAUUGAAGUUAACUUUUAAGUGAAAAGGCUUAAAUAAUUUGGGGGGACGAUAAGACCCUAUAAAUCUUAACAUUUCUACUAUUAAAUGUACUUAGAGUGUAGUUGAUGUAUGUUUAUUGGGGUAGUGUUUUACUGGGGCGGUAUAAAUAAAAUUAGUAACUGUUUAUAUUAAUUACAGUAAUACCUGAACAUUUGUAGAUCCUUAAUUAAAGAUCAAAAGUUUAAGUUACUUUAGGGAUAACAGCGUUAUUUCUUUUAAGAGUUCAUAUCUAAAAAGAAGUUUGCGACCUCGAU
rnacentral:rRNA from 1 species